rnacentral:lncRNA from 1 species
UUCUCAUCAAUUAAGUUAAACUUAGGAAGAUUUAUUAUUAUUAUUAUUAUUAUUAUUAUUAUUGUUAUUAUUAUUUAGUGCGACAAGGAGGGAAGAUUUUUCUUCAUGUAUGCUUAAGUAUAAUAGAGAAAUCAAAAUUCAAAACACACGUUUUUCUUGUAAAAGGAGUAGGUUUCACUUCAACAUGUUUAUGAGCCUAGCUAGCUAGCCUUCAAAACAAGUGAAUUAAUAUAUUUGCAGAUAUGAAGCAUGAAAAGAUGUUGCGGUUUGCCCUUUUCCAGAUUUCAAAUUUCAAAUCGUGACAUAAAAAAGGUAUAAACGAAGCAAUUUUAGGUUGUAUGAAUGAUUUAAGGGAGAAGAAGAAAGCAGAAAAUGGAAACAGGGGAGAAGAAGAUGGAGAUAUGGAACAGCUUGAAGAGGAAAUGUAGAGAGGUAGAUCUGUGAUUUUUAUUUUUGGUUAUAAAACCUGUAUUUUUUUAGAAAUGUUAACAAGUGCUCACUUGAUAAGAAGUUUAAAAUGGAAAUUUUGUUUUGGAAUUUGUGUAUUCAACACAUUGAAACAUUAAAAAGUAGGGAGCUUCUACGGUGCAGUUAUGAAACUGACUUUUUUGAAAAAGUUAAUUUUAAUCUUAAUGUUUGAUUUAUUUUUAAAAUUGUUGAUUAC